rnacentral:rRNA from 1 species
AUUGAACGCUGGCGGCAUGCUUUACACAUGCAAGUCGAACGGUAACAGGCCGCAAGGUGCUGACGAGUGGCGAACGGGUGAGUAAUGCAUCGGAACGUGCCCAGUCGUGGGGGAUAACGCAGCGAAAGCGGUGCUAAUACCGCAUACGAUCUAUGGAUGAAAGCGGGGGACCGUAAGGCCUCGCGCGAUUGGAGCGGCCGAUGUCAGAUUAGCAAGUUGGUGGGGUAAAGGCCCACCAAGGCGACGAUCUGUAGCUGGUCUGAGAGGACGACCAGCCACACUGGGACUGAGACACGGCCCAGACUCCUACGGGAGGCAGCAGUGGGGAAUUUUGGACAAUGGGCGCAAGCCUGAUCCAGCAAUGCCGCGUGUAGGAAGAAGGCCUUCGGGUUGUAAACUGCUUUUGUACGGAACGAAACGGCCUGGGUUAAUACCCUGGGCUAAUGACGGUACCGUAAGAAUAAGCACCGGCUAACUACGUGCCAGCCGCCGCAGUAA